rnacentral:rRNA from 1 species
UACAGGAGGGGGCGAGCGUUGUUCGGAAUUACUGGGCGUAAAGGGCGCGUAGGCGGCCUCCUAAGUCGAACGUGAAAUCCCCGGGGCUCAACCCGGGAACUGCGUCCGAUACUGGGAAGCUUGAAUCCGGGAGAGGGAUGUGGAAUUCCAGGUGUAGCGGUGAAAUGACGUAGAUAUCUGGAGGAACACCGGUGGCGAAGGCGG